CCAGACUCCUACGGGAGGCAGCAGUGGGGAAUAUUGCACAAUGGGGGAAGCCCUGAUGCAGCGACGCCGCGUGGGCGACGAAGCGCUCCGGCGCGUAAAGCCCUGUCAGCAGGGAAGAAAAUGACGGUACCUGAAGAAGAAGCCCCGGCUAACUACGUGCCAGCAGCCGCGGUAAUACGUAGGGGGCAAGCGUUAUCCGGAUUUACUGGGUGUAAAGGGGGCGCAGACGGCGAUGCAAGCCAGGAGUGAAAGCCCGGGGCCCAACCCCGGGACUGCUCUUGGAACUGCGUGGCUGGAGUGCAGGAGGGGCAGGCGGAAUUCCUGGUGUAGCGGUGAAAUGCGUAGAUAUCAGGAGGAACACCGGUGGCGAAGGCGGCCUGCUGAACUGCAACUGACGUUGAGGCCCGAAAGCGUGGGGAGCAAACAGGAUUAGAUACCCUCGUA
rnacentral:rRNA from 1 species